rnacentral:rRNA from 1 species
AUGACGUCAAGUCAUCAUGGCCCUUACGGCCUGGGCUACACACGUGGCUACAAUGGUCGGUACAAAGGGUUGCCAAGCCGCGAGGUGGAGCUAAUACCCAUAAAACCGAUCGUAGUCCGGAUCGCAGUCUGCAACUCGACUGCGUGAAGUCGGAAUCGCUAGUAAUCGUGAAUCAGAAUGUCACGGUGAAUACGUUCCCGGGCCUU